GACAGAGGGUGCAAACGUUGUUCGGAAUUACUGGGCGUAAAGCGCGUGUAGGCGGCCCUGCAAGUCGGAUGUGAAAUCCCACGGCUCAACCGUGGAAGUGCAUUCGAAACUGCAGGGCUAGAGUCCUGGAGAGGAAGGUGGAAUGCUUGGUGUAGAGGUGAAAUUCGUAGAUAUCAAGCGGAACACCGGUGGCGAAGGCGGCCUUCUGGACAGUGACUGA
rnacentral:rRNA from 1 species